UCGCCCCGCCCGCAUGACCUCGACCUCUCGCCUACUCCUCCUCUCCGUUCCUCCCGCAGCCGUAAGCCGCCGGAGCUGCCCGCCACGCCCUUCGCCGCCGGAGCCACUGCCGAGCCCGUCCGUCGCGCCCGAGCCACCGCCCUUCGCCGUGGGAGCCGCCACCGAGCCCAUCCAUCGCGCCCGAGCCGCCGCCUGGCGCGGGCCUGGGUGCUGGCGACGCGACGAAUCGUCCACGUCGGCCCCUCACCGAUCUGUGCCGGCUUUUGCAUCGCCAUGCCGCCGUCUUCAUCGACCUCUCACUGCGUACUGUUAUGGGUGGCCGGCGAACAAACCCACCUACUGCCAUAUCCGUCUCAAGAUUGAACGCACCGCACCCAUCCUUCGUUUCACAGGUCAGCCCCCAAUUUGUUGUGCCACCAUCCCUGUCACUGGUACAGCAGAUCCAUUCGGGUUUUUUUUUUCACAUUUGAGAGAAGAUGGAUAAGUAACAAAUUUGUGUCCAGAUUAUCUUCAGUUCGUGCUAUUUAUCCAUCAGUUUUGUCAUAAUCAUGUUUUGAUCCCAGAGACCCAUAUCCCAAUGUGUUUUUGUAUUUGUGGUUCAAGAGAUGAACAAAUGCGCUCCUGUCUGAUCGAUAUUUGUGAAUCUGCAAGCAAGGGUGAGCAGAGCUCCAAGGUAGCGACGCCGUGGGCGGCAGUGCCGGGGCUGGCCGCUGUUGGCAGCAGGAAUUCACCAUCGGUCCUCAAAUCCACCAUACUACGCUGCUGCACAAUCUCAACCAGGUGGGGAAUUCUUCUUAUGUGGCGCACAUUAACACUUAUCUAGGUGAAAACCUGUUCUUGAAGAAGAACUUGCCAAUUGACCCAUCCGGCAGUCGGCUUAUUAGGGACGGUGUCAUUUUCAGACCAUGAGAUGGCUUUCUAGAUAGCUACAGAGUCCUGCUCAUUUACUCUUUGCACAUAAAUUGUCUGCUAGCCGUUGCUGAUGUUAAUUCAUUGCUGGAUCGUUUGUCAAUAGGUUGAUCAAUGUAGCUAUACCUGGAGUCAUUUAUGAGAGAGCAAUAAAUAAGAAAAGAGUUCUUAACCCAUGGGAUAGGAAUGAAAAUCAUACGUUGUGCCUCAACUCUGCACAGGCCAUUGGAUGUACUGUGUCAACAUUGGCAGGCAUGAUUUAGUGGAAGGAAGGGUAUAUUUUGGUAUCGAAUACUCUUGCCAUUGCUAAAUGUUGUGUAUCCUUUGGGCUUCUUCACUGUAUCCCAACAAAUAAACUAGCAUGAGUACUAUAUAAGCAACAGUUAUUAAAUACAAUUUUUUUGUUCGGCGGGCUAAUUGAGUUGUAGGACCAAAUAGAAUUUUACCAAGGGCACUUAAUUGGAGAUGGAAAGAACAGGUGCAUUGGAAGUAGAUUACACGAUGGGUAAAGAACAAGCCAGAGUUCAGACUUCAUGUGCACCUUUGUUGUUGCUAGAUGCUUACUUGUCAUGGCAAUGUUCAUGAUCCGCGAGCCAGGGCAUUCGGUACUAACCAGUGACCAAGAAAAGGUAACAGAUGGGAGCUCUUCUAAUCUCUUUUGUAAAUAUGUUGAACUAUUGAUAUUGUUUGGUCUGUAGAGUUGAAGGUGCGACACAUUAGGACCACGAUAGCAUUUGAGGACUAGCCACAUGGUACCAACAAGCAGUUGGAGUUUAAUGGCUGGCAGACUCUACUCAGUAAGCGGCAUUUGUUUUUGUUUAAUGAACCUUUGUAACAGAGAGUUAUGUUUUUUUAGAAACUAACGGAGGUGCAGGUAUACGCCCAUGUGUACUCACUAGAAGGCUAAUGCUAAAGUCUGCAUCCAAGCGAUUGUUGCAUCUACAUGUACACAUGUAUCGAAGACUUCAUCGGCUAAAGGGGACCUGAACUAUAAGAACUCAAGCUAUUUAUCCUCUGGUGACGAACCUCAACUAGAAGAAGUCAAGCUCUAUUUCCUCAAGCGAUAUAUUGGGUUGUAUUGUAUGAUUCUAUAUAUGCUUGUUUUGUGAUGUAAUACGAGUGUACUCUAUAGUAUGAUGGAAUACAGAAAUACUUCUUUUUGCGGUGUAAUAUGGAUAUUAUUGAGAAUUUUUUGAAUAAAAUAUUACACUUGUUAGUGAUGUAGU